CUGAUAGUUAUUUAUUUCCCCUGUACUUUUCAAACUCUUUCAAAUUCUUUGCCUCAACCUAGCAUCUCCAUUUCAUUUAAUUUGUCAUAGGAAUAUUUUUCAAUAAGGGGAAAUCUUUAAAGAAAAUUGAAAAAUAUAAGACAUCUGCAUAAUAAAAUCUUUUGCAAAAGAUGCAAGAUUUUCUUUAGGUCAUGCUUUCCUCUAAUUUUUUUCCCUCCAGAAUUAUUGCAGGGAACGUGCUAAAAGCCUGCCCACCUUUCUCCUAGGAUUUUGCUUUACUUUCAAACACUCUCUCUAUUGUCACAAUGUAUUGCCAUUGAAGAUUUCAAGAUUUGAGAAAACAAGGUGUCAUCACCAUGAGAAGGACAUACCACCCCAGAAUAAGGAGAGGCAAAUGGAUUAGACUUGAAAUGAACCCAGAGCCUGGAUUCAAGCACAGCCAAACCCAGCUUGGAUCUCAUAAUUCCCAGUCCUGUGCAGAAGAACCGUGAGACCUACAAUAUAUUUCCAUACCUUCUUUCAAGAAAUAAAUGCUCAAUUUUGUAAGACACUGAGGUUGAAGGUUGUUUGCUACACCACAUUUUGGUGAAAAUAGUUGACAGUGACACCAACCAAAUCAAGAAUAAUCCCACAACACAGAGCUAGAGUACAUGCAACUUCGGCAUCUACUAGUAUUCACUAAGUGCCAACAUUGUGCUGGCAUCUUUGCACGUUCUCUCAUUUCAAUUUUACAACAACAAUAAGAG
rnacentral:lncRNA from 10 species